rnacentral:rRNA from 1 species
UGGGGAAUAUUGCGCAAUGGGGGAAACCCUGACGCAGCAACGCCGCGUGAGUGAGGAAGGCCUUCGGGUUGUAAAGCUCUGUCACUAUAGAAAAAUGAGCGUUGGUCUAAUAGGCCAGCGAAGUGAUGGUAUAUAGAGAGGAAGCACCGGCUAACUUCGUGCCAGCAGCCGCGGUAAUACGAAGGGUGCAAGCGUUGUUCGGAUUUAUUGGGCGUAAAGCGCGCGCAGGCGGAUGAUUAAGCCAGAUGUGAAAUCUCGGGGCUCAACCCCGAAACUGCGUCUGGAACUGGUUAUCUAGAAUACUAGAGGGGGAAGGGGUAUUUCGCAUGUAGGGGUAAAAUCCGUAGAGAUGCGAAGGAACACCAGCGGGGAAACCGCCUUCCUGGAUAGUUAUUGACGC